rnacentral:tRNA from 1 species
GCCUCGGUGGCUCAGCUGGUAGAGCGUCAGCCUCGUAAGCUGGUGGUCGCGGGUUCAAAUCCCGCCCGAGGCU